rnacentral:rRNA from 1 species
GAUUAAGUUAUUAAGGGCGCACGGUGGAUGCCUUGGCACUAGAAGCCGAUGAAGGACGUUACUAACGACGAUAUGCUUUGGGUAGCUGUAAGUAAGCGUUGAUCCAGAGAUUUCCGAAUGGGGAAACCCAGCACAAGUUAUGUUGUGUUAUCGACAAGUGAAUUCAUAGCUUGUCAGAAGGCAGACCCGGAGAACUGAAACAUCUUAGUACCCGGAGGAAGAGAAAGAAAAUUCGAUUCCCUGAGUAGCGGCGAGCGAAACGGGAAGAGCCCAAACCAAUAAGCUUGCUUAUUGGGGUUGUAGGACACUCUAUACGGAGUUACAAAGGAAUAUAUUAAACGAAUCAUCUGGAAAGUUGAAUCAAAGAAGGUAAUAAUCCUGUAGUUGAAAAUAUAUUCUCUCUUGAGUGGAUCCUGAGUACGACGGAGCACGUGAAAUUCCGUCGGAAUCUGGGAGGACCAUCUCCUAAGGCUAAAUACUCUCUAGUGACCGAUAGUGAACCAGUACCGUGAGGGAAAGGUGAAAAGUACCCCGGAAGGGGAGUGAAAGAGAACUUGAAACCGUGUGCUUACAAGUAGUCAGAGCCCGUUAAUGGGUGAUGGCGUGCCUUUUGUAGAAUGAACCGGCGAGUUACGAUCUGAUGCAAGGUUAAGCAGAAAAUGUGGAGCCGUAGCGAAAGCGAGUCUGAAUAGGGCGU